GAUGAACGCUCGCGGCAGGCCUAACACAUGCAAGUCGAGGGAGGAGCUUUCGGGCUUCGACCGGCGUACGGGUGCGUAACGCGUAUACAAUCUGCCUUUCACAUAGGGAUAGCCCGAAGAAAUUUGGAUUAAUACCUAAUGGUAUAUAGGAGUGGCAUCACAUUUAUAUUAAAGCUGAGGCGGUGAAAGAUGAGUAUGCGUUCUAUUAGCUAGUUGGAGAGGUAACGGCUCCCCAAGGCGACGAUAGAUAGGGGUUCUGAGAGGGAUAUCCCCCACACUGGUACUGAGAUACGGACCAGACUCCUACGGGAGGCAGCAGUGAGGAAUAUUGGACAAUGGUCGGAAGACUGAUCCAGCCAUGCCGCGUGCAGGAAGACGGCCUUAUGGGUUGUAAACUGCUUUUGCAGGGGAAGAAUAAGGACUACGAGUAGUUUGAUGACGGUACUCUGCGAAUAAGCAUCGGCUAACUCCGUG
rnacentral:rRNA from 1 species